GUGGGGAAUAUUGGACAAUGGGCGAAAGCCUGAUCCAGCCAUGCCGCGUGUGUGAAGAAGGUCUUCGGAUUGUAAAGCACUUUAAGUUGGGAGGAAGGGCAGUAAGUUAAUACCUUGCUGUUUUGACGUUACCAACAGAAUAAGCACCGGCUAACUUCGUGCCAGCAGCCGCGGUAAUACGAAGGGUGCAAGCGUUAAUCGGAAUUACUGGGCGUAAAGCGCGCGUAGGUGGUUCAGCAAGUUGAAGGUGAAAUCCCCGGGCUCAACCUGGGAACUACCUCCAAAACUACUGAGCUAGAGUACGGUAGAGGGUAGUGGAAUUUCCUGUGUAGCGGUGAAAUGCGUAGAUAUAGGAAGGAACACCAGUGGCGAAGGCGACUACCUGGACUGAUACUGACACUGAGGUGCGAAAGCGUGGGGAGCAAACAGGAUUAGAAACCCGAGUAGUCC
rnacentral:rRNA from 1 species